rnacentral:rRNA from 1 species
AUUGAACGCUGGCGGCAGGCCUAACACAUGCAAGUCGAACGAGUGGCGGACGGGUGAGUAAUGUAUGGGAAACUGCCUGAUGGAGGGGGAUAACUACUGGAAACGGUGGCUAAUACCGCAUACCAUCAGAUGUGCCCAGAUGGGAUUAGCUAGUGGGUGGGGUAACGGCUCACCAAGGCGACGAUCCCUAGCUGGUCUGAGAGGAUGACCAGCAACACUGGAACUGAGACACGGUCCAGACUCCUACGUGAGGCAGCAGUGGUGAAUAUUGCACAAUGGGCGCAAGCCUGAUGCAGCCAUGCCGCGUGUAUGAAGAAGGCCUUAGGGUUGUAAAGUACUUUCAGCGGGGAGGCGUUACCCGCAGAAGAAGCACCGGCUAACUCCGUGCCAGCAGCCGCGGUAAUAC